GAUGAACGCUAGCGAUAGGCCUAACACAUGCAAGUCGAGGGGCAUCACAUGAAGUAGCAAUACGGAUGGUGGCGACCGGCGCACGGGUGAGUAACACGUAUGCAACCUGCCUUCAACAAGGGGAUAACCCGUUGAAAGACGGACUAAUACCCUAUAACACAGGGGUCCCGCAUGGGAAUAUUUGUUAAAGGACAACCGGUUGAAGAUGGGCAUGCGUUCCAUUAGCUAGUUGGCGGGGUAACGGCCCACCAAGGCAACGAUGGAUAGGGGAACUGAGAGGUUUAUCCCCCACACUGGUACUGAGACACGGACCAGACUCCUACGGGAGGCAGCAGUGAGGAAUAUUGGUCAAUGGACGCAAGUCUGAACCAGCCACGUCGCGUGAAGGAAGACGGCCCUACGGGUUGUAAACUUCUUUUAUACGGGGAAUAAAGUGCCCCACGCGUGGGGUUUUGCAUGUACCGUAUGAAUAAGGAUCGGCUAACUCCGUGCCAGCAGCCGCGGUAAAUACG
rnacentral:rRNA from 1 species